rnacentral:rRNA from 1 species
AGUGAACGCUGGCGGUAGGCCUAACACAUGCAAGUCGAACGGCAGCACAGUAAGAGCUUGCUCUUACGGGUGGCGAGUGGCGGACGGGUGAGGAAUACAUCGGAAUCUACUUUUUCGUGGGGGUUAACGUAGGGAAACUUACGCUAAUACCGCAUACGACCUACGGGUGAAAGCAGGGGAUCUUCUGACCUUGCGCGAUUGAAUGAGCCGAUGUCGGAUUAGCUGGUUGGCGGGGUAAAGGCCCACCAAGGCGACGAUCCGUAGCUGGUCUGAGAGGAUGGUCAGCCACACUGGAACUGAGACACGGUCCAGACUCCUACGGGAGGCAGCAGUGGGGAAUAUUGGACAAUGGGCGCAAGCCUGAUCCAGCCAUACCGCGUGGGUGAAGAAGGCCUUCGGGUUGUAAAGCCCUUUUGUUGGGAAAGAAAAGCAGCAGGUUAAUACCCCGCUGUUCUGACGGUACCCAAAGAAUAAGCACCGGCUAACUUCGUG